rnacentral:lncRNA from 1 species
AUUGAUUGGCUAAAUGUAGUUAUUUGUCUCAAAUAUAAAAUUAAAAGUUACAAUUUUUAGUCAUUUAAAACUUUAAUCUUAGACAUUAAAGGAGUUUUAAUUUUAUAAUUUAGUCAACUGGCCAUCCGAGACUCCUCAUUGAAGAUGGUGUAAGAAGAGAAAAAGAAGUUGUGUUGGAUCCAUGAGUAUAAUGGAGUGAAUGUUUGAAAGUAAAAAGGAAUAGAGAAAAGAAAUAAUUGGAGGGGGGGGAGGUAUGGCCGGAGAGGGAAUAAUAUGUGAGUUGCUUUCGGAGCUAUCUCCCAUGUCUCCCUUUCAAUAAGAUUCGUUUUGGGGAAAGGAGAAAUAAAAGACAGAAGCAGAAGAGAGAUUGAUUAAAUUUGCAGAAGCAAACAGCAGCUCUCUGUAGUAUUUGCAGCAGCAGGAGGAGGGAGGAGGAGGAGGAGGCUAUCUGAAGCAAGCAGUGGCACUUGUCAUUCAGUGACUUGAAACAAGCUGCACUCCCUGUCUCUUGUUUGUGUGUGGGAAGAUAGAUGCACUCUUUGGCUAUUGCACUGCAUUACCCAUCAAACAACUCAAAAACAACAACUUCCACUUUUCUAUUUCUUUGUCGGUUUUUUGGGUUUGCAAUUUUCAUUUACAAGAAAUUAAAAGCACCACCACCACCACCACCCCCCACUUACUUACAAGUUACAUCCCCCUGUGAUUUUGCUUUUAUUUUUUUACUAUUAAUUUAACCCAGCGGUCCAUACAAAAUCUUCCUUCAUGCGAUGCUGCUGCUUACUCAUCCCAACCUUUUCAGGAGUACUCAGUUCAACCUUAACCAGAUCAUCCAUUCAACAGUAUUUGCUUUUUAACACCCGGAAAUGGUCUUUCCCACCCGAUGGAUCGGCCAGCUUGUUCGGUGUGGUAGCUGUCAAGUAAACUCGAGUAGUCUUUAAAUCAAGUACACACAUUGUCAAGGGUAACCGAUCGGUUAUUUCCAAGACAUAAAUGAGCAUGAACACAGAACCGACCAGAAACUCUAAAUCACUGAUGAAUCAGCUUAAUUACAUUGAAGUGGAGUACAGUUCAUGACGAUAUGCAGCAAUUGGGAAGGGUACAUCCGCGCCGCCUGGAAGAUGAGUUUAACAAAGCAAUUAGGAGCUAGCUAGGUUAUACUUAUAUAACAAUAAGAGGAGUUGAAAGUACAAAUACGAAUAUUGGUAAUCGGACCAGCUAGAAAGGAGACAGACAAAAGUCUGUAUAUGUAUUUAUUUAAGGGAGUUUGUGUUAUGGGAACUUGGAACUGUUUUUCUUUUCUUUUUAUAACUAGACUAGAAAGAAUAAGAAAACGACGAGCAAAUUGAAAUGCCUCAAAGACCAGAGCUAGCCUGCAACUCAACCCAAGAUAAACAACAUCUCAUAUCAUCGUGCUGCGUGAGGAUCUUCUCCUUCAUCACUUAGCUUGUUGUGCUCGAACCAUCCUUACUGGUUCCUUCCACCCAUCACUCCUCUCUCACUAUAAUAAACAUCCAUGUAAUGUAUGUUUUCAAACUCAGCUUCUGUCUCCAACCCUGCAGUUAAGCUACAAACAAUGCCAAGUAUGAUUAGUGACGAACCCUAGCUAGCUUACUAUAUAUUAAUGAAAUAAACCAGCAUCAUAUAUGCAGCUAAGAUCAUCAAGAGAGCAGCUAGCAUCACACAUACAUGCACCUAAUCUACAGGACACAUCAAAAGUAAAACCAACUAAGAAUACGAACUGGGUAUCUACAGGAACCACAAUGCAAAACUCAUCACACCCUUCUCAGAGACAGAAAUUGAGAGAUCAUGCAUACCUACACACACACAAAGAUCCACUGUAGCAUAUACACAGUAGUCAGCUAUAGGCUUGUAAAAGAUUAGUAGCUAGGUAGAACAUUAAGGAUAUAUACAAAGUCAGAGGAGAAAAAAAAGGGGGUGGGAAAGGGAGCUCCCUUCAGUCCAAGUACAGGAAGCUUAAGAUUCAAUUUGUCUCCCGCAUCAUUCACUCAUUUACCAUGCUGAUUAAAUAUACUACACACAGUAUUUGGAUGAAUGAGUCGGCAGCUAAUUAAAUCCUUAUUGCCACCCAUGAGUGGACUGAAGAAAGCUCUCUUUACUUAAAUUUUUUUUUUCCAUCAACACCAUAACCGAAGAACCUGCAAAAAAAGAUCUCAAACCUUUGUUAUACGACAUGAAUACCUGCUGGAAAAGAAAAAUAGAGGAUAAAUCAAACCUUGCUUUCUUAGAAACGCUGGCUGAUGGUUUUAUAAAUAAGAAACAGAAAAGGCAGACGUUGUGACAAAAGGGAAGGAGCUUUGGGAUUUUUGAGGUUGUGAAAGAAAGCGACUGCAUAAAGUAGUUAACAAAACAAGGAAGGAUUACAAACCCUAACCAAAAGAGAAGGGUAAGGAAGAGAGGAAACAGGUUGGGGGAACCGGUUUUCUUCUUCUAGUUAAGAGAUGAGUGAGUGAUGAGAGUGGGGAGGAAAUGGGGUUUAUAUAAAGCCUUAAAUAGGAAAUGCCAGAAGAAGAAGAAGAAGAAGAAGAAGAACAGACACCUCACACCAGAAAGACACCAUCUCAUUCUAUU